rnacentral:tRNA from 1 species
GUAUUAGUAGUCUAAGGUAAGAUGUUAACUUUUCGUGUUAGAGUUUCAAUUAUAUGUUAAUUGGGUAAUAUA